rnacentral:tRNA from 2 species
GCGCCCGUAGCUCAAUUGGAUAGAGCGUCUGACUACGGAUCAGGAGGUUAGGGGUUCGAGUCCUCUCGGGCGCGCCA